rnacentral:rRNA from 1 species
GAGUUUGAUCAUGGCUCAGGAUGAACGCUAGCGGCAGGCCUAACACAUGCAAGUCGAACGGUAACAGGGAAAAGCUUGCUUUUCCGCUGACGAGUGGCGCACGGGUGCGUAACGCGUAUACAAUCUGCCUCUUACAGGGGGAUAGCCUUUGGAAACGAAGAUUAAUACCCCAUGGCAUCAUUGACCGGCAUCGGUUGGUGAUUAAAGUUUCGGCGGUAGGAGAUGAGUAUGCGUUCUAUUAGCUAGUAGGUGCGGUAACGGCGCACCUAGGCGACGAUAGAUAGGGGCCCUGAGAGGGGGAUCCCCCACACUGGUACUGAGACACGGACCAGACUCCUACGGGAGGCAGCAGUGAGGAAUAUUGGACAAUGGGCGGAAGCCUGAUCCAGCCAUGCCGCGUGCAGGAAGACUGCCCUAUGGGUUGUAAACUGCUUUUGUACGGGAAGAAACCCAGAUACGCGUAUCUGGCUGACGGUACCGUAAGAAUAAGCAUCGGCUAACUCCGUGCCAGCAGCCGCGGUAAUACGGAGGAUGCAAGCGUUAUCCGGAAUCAUUGGGUUUAAAGGGUCCGUAGUGGAUCGGUCAGUCAGAGGUGAAAUCCUGCAGCUCAACUGUAGAACUGCCUUUGAUACUGCCGGUCUUGAAUUACUGUGAAGUGGUUAGAAUAUGUAGUGUAGCGGGUGAAAUGCAUAGAUAUUACAUAGAAUACCGAUUGCGAAGGCAGAUCACUACGGUACAUGACACUGAUGGACGAAGCGUGGGGGGAGCGACGGAUUAGGAAUACCCCGGUAGUCCCACCGCCCGGUAAAACG